ACACAGAACUGUGAUCUCAAAGAACUUGCAUAUUAUUAUAAAUAGAGAAUGAAUAUUUUUGGAUUUUUUAAUAAUGUGACAUUUUACCCAUUGGGGGGGUGUUAAAACCCUAUUCGUGAGUAUUUGCACUCGAAAGGGCUAUGAUUGUGGUGAAUAAUCAGACAUAGUACGAUAAGGUUGUAUGUCUAAAGGGAAACAGCCCAGAACAAGAGUUAAUAAGGUUCCAAAAUUAUGGUUAAGUGAAAAUAAGGUAGUGUUUAUCUUAUUCGACUAGGAAAUAGGCUUGGAAGCUGCCAUUUUUUGAAGAUCUCGUAAAAGAGCACUAGUUUGUUAAAUGGAUAAUUGCACCAAAAAUUUAACGGAUCUAAACUAUAUACCGAUACCUUGUACAUAAAUAGUUAUAUGUCUUAGAGAUAUAUAAUAUAUAUGGGGUAGCAGAACGUAGGGCAAAUGUUAGAUUAUUUCUUUUUAAGAACUAAAAUUAUAUUACCCUAGUGAUAAUGCUGACAUGAGUAACGAUAAAGGGAAAUCUUUCCCUCGCCUAAAGCUUAUGGUAUUCUAUUAAAGUAACGGCCUCUAAGUUUAUUAACAAAUCCUAAAGGACUAAACGAUGAGAAAAUCUUUAUGUUUAUAUAAAUAACCUUAAGUAUAAAAAAAAGUAUAAUAAAUAUGAUAAACAAUAAUAACUUUCCCUAUCGCGGGGNCGCAAUUUAGUUGGUUAUAACUAAUUUUAAAUUAAAUUAAGNUAUUAUUGUUUAUGGNUUGGAUGCAAAANAAAAAAUCUUUUUUUUUAUAANUGAUAAAAAAUAUUUUUUUUUUUAUAAGUGACAAAGGUUCUGGAAAAUAUUAUAUUCUACAACCGUACCUAGAUACUACCCCAAGUAAGU
rnacentral:rRNA from 1 species